ACUUACCAUCGCUUGGUUAUCGAUGAACUGAUGUGACACCGACGCUCUGUUGGAGGUUCCACUAUAGUAGGCUUCGCCCCCAUUUUAGGGCCACUUUGGGGCGACUGACUGACUGACUGACGGACUGACGGACUGACUGAGUGACGGAGUGACGCGACGAGUGGAUGACUGACUGAUUGCAUGACAAACUAACGAAACUAACGAAUCAAGCGACGCGACGGACGGAACGACCGAUGCCAAACACUCAAAACAAAAAAAGAGAUAUAUACACAAGCGCACAUAUGGAUAUGGACACUCAGACACUCAGAAACAACAAGACGAGAACAGGAGACCUCUUAAAAGGCAGACCUCUAUCCAUCCAUAGAGUAUAUGAGUAUAUGGCAGCAUAGAAACGGAGGAAGAAACACAAUAAUGGGCUCGAGACCCCGGGCCUAUCUGAUUGAAGGGCUCCCGACCAACAACAACAACAACAACAGCCACAACACCAUCGACAACAACAGCAGCAAGAAAAACACGACUGUGUGAUUCGAUUUCGAUCGAUGUUGUGGUGCGCGACACUGUCGAGAAAACCGAGCUACACCUAGAGAUAUCAAUUGGAUCUAGAAAUCAAGAUAUUCUUUAAAAUUAACAUCACUAAACAUAUUUUAGUACAUAUAAAAAUAUUUGUUAGCUGUUAGUCAUAUAAAACCAGCAUAUCUCUUAUAACUACCUAAUACAAACACUAAUCUUUAUUUAUCUUCAUAUAUUUGAAUUGCAAUUUCAAA